CGCCAGGCGACCGCCGUCUUGCUUUGACGCCACGCCGGGCUGCCCGUCGUCGGCGACCGGGCUCCAGUCGAGGAGCGGGUCGAGGUAGGUGGUCCGCUUCUGCACGGUCCGGUUGUGACAGGUUAUGGCCAACCUUCCCUCGAUGUCGUUCCAGGCCACGAUGAAAGCGAAUUUGUGCCGCUCCUUCUCGUCGAACGCUUUGGGCCGGACGGACACCCAGCCGGACUCCAAGUUGUCCUCCAUGGCGAAGCCGGGGUCACCGCGAUGGGGAGCAGUAGGAGGCUGUCGAAGCUAAGUGCUAAUGCUAACUAGCUGGAGAAGUGCAAUUAGAAACACUGUAGCGAGCCGAUUAGCACGAAACAAUCGGCCGAAACAAAGGCUCUCGGCUCGGUCCGCCGGACACGCGAGCUAGCGGCGGCCCGGGACGAAGGCAGGUCCGAACAAGGCGCAUCCAGUCGGCUGUCAUGACACCGCUCGGCCCGCUGGCUUCCUCCGAAUCUUUUUGUUUUUUCUCCUUCUUUUUCUUUUUGUUGUUGUCCGCGACGACGACGACGAUGUAUCGGCUCAGCACCGUCACGUGUGAGCUUGUGUUUACAAGCCGAGCGCGUGCACGACAAACAGGGGAGGGCUGCUGCGUUUAGGGUCCCGCCCAGAAAAGCGUACAUAUAUAUAUAUAUAUAUAUAUAUAUAUAUCGCUAGUGGUGCCUGAUUAGUCGACGGAAAUUAGUACCUUGUCGGUAAGGUACUAGAACUAGGUAAAGGUGCGACAAGCGGUACCUGAUAAGCUAAGGUACUAGAAUGGUAUCCGGUCAGACGUUUUGUUUCCAAGGCGAGCGCGUGCAUGUUAAAUCCGGAGGAGGGCUGCCGCAUUCAGGAACCACAAGGAAAAUAGUACAUUCCCCAUUUACUUUCGAACAAAUUGGCUUCAGCUAAGAAAAGAGGCCAUAUGAAACAAUCCUCGAAUGUGUCAUCUCGUUCCACGUUAUGUCUCUUGAAUUAUCGAUUCAAUGCAUACAUAUUUUAUUGAAGGAAACGUGUCCAUUUGUAUCUCUUUUGUUGUCUGGUUGGCCGAGACGCACACGAGGAGCAUAAACAUCUGCACGUGGGAAUACCCAUGACGCCAUCACGCCGACGUGACUGCGGGCCGGAGAGGGCGGGGCUUACGAGCUCAGGACAUUCUACGGCGAGCCAAGAGGUUCGAAAUAAAUGAACUUGGAGCUGCUCCUUGGUGGUGGCUUCCUUCUGUUGCAUGAGGUCGACGUGACCUUUGGUGACCCCCCAGCCGUCUGGCGUGGACAUGGAAGGACACAGGGGGCGGCCGGACGCCGGCUUCAGCUUCUCCCAGUAGUCUCGGCGGGCCCUGAAGCAAAGCCGGGAUGUUACAAAAUUCCAUUCAACGCAAAUCUGAAAAAAUACCUGGUCAGGAAUCGGGGAACUCGUACGUACUGAAGGGGAACUCUGGCAGGUCGAUGAAUCCCUGUCUGUUGCAGUCGGGCGUGUGGUAGGCGAGCGGCUGGCUCAUGUAGUGCGCCUUCAGGCCGGCCUUCUCCACGCCCGCCUUCAUCAUGGCUACCGUGCGCACGCAGGCGGUGGGGUCAAAGUGGCAGUUAACGCCCACGAUGUCCGCACCUGUGACCGGGGCCCUCGGUGUUUAAACACAGGUGUCCAACUGUCCACGCGGAAUGUUUUCGUACCGGCUUUGACGAGGCGGACGGCGCACUCUCCCGGGCUGACCCCGUUCAGGUCGCCUUCGGGUCCGAUGCACAGCGUGGCCGCCACUGGCUUGCCCGUGCUUUUCAGGACCUGCACCGCCCACUCUGCCUCCUCCACGUGCUCAAACUUUACAGAUGCCACUUCUAAAUGUGUUCUCUGCCACAUGGGAUUGGUAAAGCCAAGUAGUGGUACCUCGUGGAGCUUUUUUUGUAUUGAGGCGAGACAUUCAUUUGCUGGAUCCGGUGUACCUAAUGAUGUGUCCGUUCCAAUACCUCUGCGAUCAAGAAGUCCACGUUCUUGCUCACAAAGACGUCCAACUGCUUCCUGAAGAUGGCCUUGACGUCGUCC